rnacentral:rRNA from 1 species
AAACCAGCACCUCAAGUGGUCAGGAUGAUUAUUGGGCCUAAAGCAUCCGUAGCCGGCUCAGUAAGUUUUCGGUUAAAUCUGUACGCUCAACGUACAGGCUGCCGGGAAUACUGCAGAGCUAGGGAGUGGGAGAGGUAGACGGUACUCGGGAGGAAGUGGUAAAAUGCUUUGAUCUUUCGAUGACCACCUGUGGCGAAGGCGGUCUACCAGAACACGUCCGACGGUGAGGGAUGAAAGCUGGGGGAGCAAACCGGAUUAGAUACCCGAGUAGUCC